UGUCAUCUUGGGUGACAUCUUCAAUUUCUUCCUUGAUAAAAUGGAGAUAAUGUUCACCAUUGUUUCUUAAGGUCCCAGCACAACGCCUAGCACACAACAGAUGCUCAGACAACAACAAAACCCCAAAAUUCUCCCCAAAAAACCAUUUGUUGAAUAAACAAAUGAAUGAAUGAGGAGAAGGGAAAGGAGAAGAAUAUCUUUUGUAAUUGUCUUAACAAUUGUCCUGAGGCUCAAGUGAGGUAGAGCUGAAGAAAGCCUUCUGUGGACAGUGAAAUGGUAUUCAAAGAGAAAGCAAGAAGUUACUGUUUCAAGAAAGGUGGGAAGUGACGCCACAACCCAGACUGCUCAAGACGAAGACGGUAAAAUUCUUGAUCAAUGGCAAAGCCAUGUGGGGAAAAUUUUAAAAGUAUUUCCAUUGGCAGCCCAUCACUUUCCCUUGAGUCAUUUGAUUGGCUCUGCUGUUGGAUAUUGUCUGAAGUUAGUGAUGCCUUUCAGAAAAAAGGGAAGGAAGUGUUCUGCUAACCUUGCUGUGCGCUGUGAAAAUGAGGAACACAAGAUUUUGGUUUCCAGUGCAGUGACAGACAUUCAGGUCACCCAGCGCUUUCACAAGACCACCGGACAAACCCAACGUUGCCUCCAUUUAGAGGUCUGAGUGUAAAGCUCUUGGGAUCAUAAACUUCAGUGCUGACAGCAGUGACAGGCGUUGCCAAAUCCUAUUCCAGUCUAGAUGUUGAGCAGAAUUUGGGUGCUUAACCUUCAAACACCUAAGCCCAAGUUUGAAAAUAUUGAUAAUUCACAAUUUUUACUAUGUAACCCAUCUUUGAUGGUAAUUCCAAGGCAAAGACAGGACAGUAACUUGCCAGUUUCUCCAGCUCAAAAUACUAAACCAAUUGCUUCCUUCUACACUGUAAAGCUCUUUCUAAUUUUGUUAGGAAAAAAUCAGUAUAAAGAAAACACAAUUUAAAAUAAGGCCUGGAAAUUGCUUUAAAGAAAGCUUUAUUUACUACAUACAUCCUAAGAAUGUAUUGUAUAUGGAGCAAGAUCUAAAUAAAUUUAAAAGCUUUUCAAAUACAAAGCAACUAAAGAUAAAAACUAAAUUGCUAGCAUGUUUGAAACAGAGAACACUAAAGCUUUUUUUUUUAAACAUUUAUAUAGUUUGUUCUUAACCCUAAAAAAAAAAAAAGUUCACAUUUCAA